GAUGAACGCUGGCGGCGUGCCUAAUACAUGCAAGUCGAACGAAACGACUUUGACCUCGCUUGCUUGAACUUACCGAUAGACGGGUGAGUGACAAACGGAUGACCAACACAUAAGCCUGCUACCCCUUCGAGAAAGCGGACACUAUGACAGAUGUUCUAAUGCACCACAAGCAUCAUUACUGAAUGACAAUUUUGUUAACACUUGCUGUUCUAUCCGUGCCGCAUUAGCUAGUUGGUAAGGUAACGGCUUACCAAGGCAACGAUGCGUAGCCGACCUGAGAGGGUGAUCGGCCACACUGGAACUGAGACACGGUCCAGACUCCUACGGGAGGCAGCAGUAGGGAAUCUUCCGCAAUGGGCGAAAGCCUGAUGGAGCAACGCCGCGUGAGUGAUGAAGGUCUUCGGAUCGUAAAACUCUGUUAUUAGAGAAGAACGGAUGUGUAAGUAACUAUGCACGUCUUGACGGUACCUAAUCAGAAAGCCACGGCUAACUACGUG
rnacentral:rRNA from 1 species